UAGGGAAUCUUCGGCAAUGGACGAAAGUCUGACCGAGCAACGCCGCGUGAGUGAAGAAGGUUUUCGGAUCGUAAAACUCUGUUGUUAGAGAAGAACAAGGACGUUAGUAACUGAACGUCCCCUGACGGUAUCUAACCAGAAAGCCACGGCUAACUACGUGCCAGCAGCCGCGGUAAUACGUAGGUGGCAAGCGUUGUCCGGAUUUAUUGGGCGUAAAGCGAGCGCAGGCGGUUUCUUAAGUCUGAUGUGAAAGCCCCCGGCUCAACCGGGGAGGGUCAUUGGAAACAGGGAGACUUGAGUGCAGAAGAGGAGAGUGGAAUUCCAUGUGUAGCGGUGAAAUGCGUAGAUAUAUGGAGGAACACCAGUGGCGAAGGCGGCUCUCUGGUCUGUAACUGACGCUGAGGCUCGAAAGCGUGGGGAGCAAACAGG
rnacentral:rRNA from 2 species